AUGUUUUAUUUGAAAGCAGAAGAAUACAAGUUGACUAGCUACUCUGACAGCGAUUGGUGUGGUGACAUAGAUGAUCGAAAGAGAACUUCAGGAUAUGUGUUCUUCAUGGGAAACACUGUAUUCACCUGGCUGUCAAGGAAGAAACCCAUAGUAACUCUUUCGACAUGUGAAGCAGAGUAUGUGGCAGCAUAUUGGUGCGUAUGCCAUGCAAUAUGGCUGAGAAGAUUGCUGAGCAGGAUGGAAUCGAAACAGGAAGAUGCAACAAUAAUUCAAGUCGAUAACAAAUUUGUAAUCGAACUGGCAAAGAAUCCAGUCAAUCAUGAAAGAAGCAAGCACAUUGAUGUUCGAUUCCAUUUUAUUCGAGAACAUGUGAAGGAUGGAAGCAUCGAACUGAAGCACGUUGCAAGCAAGGAUCAAGCAGCAUACAUUCUUACAAAACCAGUGUCGAAGGAACUAUUCGACAGAGGCAAGAAAAUGCUAGGGAUGAUGGAUCAAAGAAAUAUUU